rnacentral:rRNA from 4 species
GGUGGCGGCUAUACUGGACUUGUCCCACCUGUUCCCAUCUCGAACACAGAAGUGAAAUGGUCCAAGGCCGAUGAUAGUAAGUCCUCGGACUUGCGAAAGUAGGUAGCUGCCACCA